UCCAGCACCCGCAGUUUCUCCUUCAGCGCCUCUGCUGCUCCCGGAGCUGCUGGUUCUUGGCAAACAGCUCCUCGAUCCGCUGAGCAUCCCUGCACGGGGACAGCCGGGUCGGGGGUCCUGCUCGCCCGGGAGGCCUGGGGGUCCCCACUGCCCAGCCUGAGGUCAGCGUCCCAUCCAGCUCCCCGCGGCCUCAGCUCGGGGCCGCUCCUGACUGCAGGGUCUCGCCCGGCGUCCUGGCCUGGCUGCAGCUACACUGUGUGACCUCGGACAAGUGGCCGCCCCGGGCUGAGCCUCGGCUGCCCCACGGCGCUUCACGGGACGGCCCGGCUCCUCGGGGCUGACUCACCGGCACCUCUCGGUGUUCAGUUCCGCGAGCUUGCUCUGUAGGCCUGGGGCGGGGGGCAGAGGGUGGGAGGUGAGCCCCAGCCGGCUGCCUCCCCGAGCCUCCCCUGCCAAGGGUCCUGAGCAGAGCCUCAAGGUGGCGCCUGUGUCCGUGGCUGUCACGAAAGACCCUCUUCAGAGCCCCUGCUGCCGCCCGGCGCCACGGGGCUGCCCCACCGAGCGGCCCCCUCUGUGCCCACGGCCAGCACUCUCAGGGCUUGGGUUCUGCCCAGUCUUGGUGGCUGCCUGAGGCCAGCGUCUCCCCCGCCCCUGGGGACUCUGGCUCUGGUAUCUGUCGGCAGGCUGGCAGGGGUUCUGGCGCCAGAAGGGACCGGCAGCCACCGGGGAAGAGCAGAGGUGCCAAGGGGGGCCGUUUCUGUGGGGGUGCCGCCAGCAUGCAGCCAAGCAGGCCUUUGGGGCGGCCCCAUCACAGUCCCUCCUUGCCACGGUUUGCCCACCAGCUCGGCCGGCCUGGGGUGGGGUGGGGGCGCAUAGGCCCUCGUGGCUCCAGGACCUCCGUCCACCUCCGUGCUGAGCGCUGAGGCUCCCACCGCAGGGGCAGGAGCGAGCAGCGUGUGAGCCGCGCAGGCAGAGUUCGGCCAAACCCGCCGGACGGGUUUUCUGUUCUCUCAGCCAGGAGCAGAAGGGAGGCCGGGGCUGCCCAGGGCGGCCGGACGGGUUCUGCCGUCGCGGGAGAGUGGCAGAGCAGGCCGGGCCAGGUGCACAGAGGUGGGAUUGUUCCUGCAGCGCCACGGCAGGGCCAGGGCCUGA
rnacentral:lncRNA from 1 species